rnacentral:rRNA from 1 species
UACGUAGGGUGCAAGCGUUGUCCGGAAUCAUUGGGCGUAAAGCGCGUGUAGGCGGCCUUGUAAGUCCGUUCUGAAAGCCUGGGGCUCAACCCCAGGAGGCGGAUGGAUACUGCAAGGCUCGAGUACGGAAGAGGCGAGUGGAAUUCCCGGUGUAGCGGUGAAAUGCGCAGAUAUCGGGAGGAACACCAAUGGCGAAGGCAGCUCGCUGGGACGUUACUGACGCUGAGACGCGAAAGCGUGGGGAGCAAACAGG